AGUGAACGCUGGCGGUAGGCCUAACGCAUGCAAGUCGAACGGCAGCACAGGAGAGCUUGCUCUCUGGGUGGCGAGUGGCGGACGGGUGAGGAAUACAUCGGAAUCUACUCUGUCGUGGGGGAUAACGUAGGGAAACUUACGCUAAUACCGCAUACGACCUACGGGUGAAAGCAGGGGACCUUCGGGCCUUGCGCGAUUGAAUGAGCCGAUGUCGGAUUAGCUAGUUGGCGGAGUAAAGGCCCACCAAGGCGACGAUCCGUAGCUGGUCUGAGAGGAUGAUCAGCCACACUGGAACUGAGACACGGUCCAGACUCCUACGGGAGGCAGCAGUGGGGAAUAUUGGACAAUGGGCGCAAGCCUGAUCCAGCCAUACCGCGUGGGUGAAGAAGGCCUUCGGGUUGUAAAGCCCUUUUGUUGGGAAAGAGAUCCAGCUGGCUAAUACCCGGUUGGGAUGACGGUACCCAAAGAAUAAGCACCGGCUAACUCCGUGCCAGCCGCCGCCGUAA
rnacentral:rRNA from 1 species